rnacentral:tRNA from 1 species
GGUGGUGUAGCUCAAGUGGUAGAACCCCUGCCUAACAAGCAUGAGGCCCUGAGUUUAAACUCCAGCACCACCU